rnacentral:rRNA from 1 species
GUACACGCUGUGACUAGCAUAUCAAUAAGCGGAGGAAAAGAAACUAACAAGGAUUCCCCUAGUAACGGCGAGUGAAGCGGGAAGAGCUCAAAUUUGAAAUCUUAAAGGGUUUCCCUUUACGAAUUGUAGUUUAAAGAAGUGUUUUCUGUUGAGGUUUUGGUAAAAGUUCUUUGGAAUAGGACAUCAUAGAGGGUGAGAAUCCCGUAUUUGACCUUUACUUUCAACUUUGUGAUACACUUUCAAAGAGUCGGAUUGUUUGGGAAUGCAGUCCAAAAUGGGUGGUAAAUCUCAUCUAAAGCUAAAUAUUGGCGAGAGACCGAUAGCGAACAAGUACCGUGAGGGAAAGAUGAAAAGAACUUUGAAAAGAGAGUUAAACAGUACGUGAAAUUGUCAAAAGGGAAGCGUUUGACACCAGUGUUGUUUUUCUGAAAAUCAAUUAAAGAACUGUUUAUGCUAAGUUGUUUAGACUUUAUCAGCUAACUGUUUAGUUUUGAGCUUUUCUUUAAUGCACUUUUCAGUUAACAAGUCAACAUCAAUUUCUUUUGCUGUAAAAAAGCUUGAGGAAGGUGGCUUGAGAUUCGUCUUAAGUGUUUAUAGCCUCUUGCCUAUGCAGUCGGAGAGAUUGAGGUCUGCAGCGUAGAUCCUUCGGGGCUAAAUGCAUUUGUGCUAAGUUAUAACAUUUUAUAGACAACUUGUUGACUAUGAUUUGUCUUGUAGCUUACUCGCUUAUGUUAUUUUACCUACGCUUAGGAUGUUGACGAGACUGUCGAUCUC